AAUGAACGUUGGCGACGUGGAUUAGGCAUGCAAGUCGUUCGCCCCGCGAGGGGCGAGGCGCAAGGGUGAGUAAGGCGACGACAACCAACCCCGAGGGUGGGCAUAGCCGCGGGAAACUGCGGGUAAUUCCCAGCGAAGUCGGAGGGUGGCAUCAUCCACCGACCAAAGGUGCGAUAUCCGCCUCGGGACGGGUCGUCGUGGUAUCAGCUAGUUGGUGGGGUAACGGCCCACCAAGGCGAAGACGCCUACCGGGCGUGCGAGCGUGGCCCGGCACGCUGGGACUGAGACACUGCCCAGACACCUACGGGUGGCUGCAGUCGAGAAUCUUCGGCAAUGGGCGCAAGCCCGACCGAGCGACGUCGCGUGGAGGACGAAGGCCUUCGGGUUGUAAACUCCUGUCGAGGGGGAACAAGGGCCGGUGGAGAGCCGGACUUGAGUGAUCCCUGGAGGAAGCACGGGCUAAGUUCGUGCCAGCCGCCGCGGUAA
rnacentral:rRNA from 1 species